rnacentral:rRNA from 1 species
CCAGUAGUCAUAUGCUUGUCUCAAAGAUUAAGCCAUGCAUGUCUAAGUAUAAGCACUUUAUACUGUGAAACUGCGAAUGGCUCAUUAAAUCAGUUAUCGUUUAUUUGAUAGUACCUUACUACAUGGAUACCUGUGGUAAUUCUAGAGCUAAUACAUGCUGAAAACCUCGACUCCGGAAGGGGUGUAUUUAUUAGAUAAAAAACCAAUGCCCUUCGGGGCUCCUUGGUGAAUCAUAAUAACUUAACGAAUCGCAUGGCCUUGCGCCGGCGAUGGUUCAUUCAAAUUUCUGCCCUAUCAACUUUCGAUGGUAGGAUAGUGGCCUACCAUGGUGGCAACGGGUAACGGGGAAUUAGGGUUCGAUUCCGGAGAGGGAGCCUGAGAAACGGCUACCACAUCCAAGGAAGGCAGCAGGCGCGCAAAUUACCCAAUCCCGACACGGGGAGGUAGUGACAAUAAAUACUGAUACGGGGCUCUUUUGGGUCUCGUAAUUGGAAUGAGUACAAUCUAAAUCCCUUAACGAGGAACAAUUGGAGGGCAAGUCUGGUGCCAGCAGCCGCGGUAAUUCCAGCUCCAAUAGCGUAUAUUAAAGUUGUUGCAGUUAAAAAGCUCGUAGUUGAACCUUGGGUCUGGCUGGCCGGUCCGCCUCACCGCGAGUACUGGUCCGGCUGGACCUUUCCUUCUGGGGAAUCUCAUGGCCUUCACUGGCUGUGGGGGGAACCAGGACUUUUACUGUGAAAAAAUUAGAGUGUUCAAAGCAGGCCUUUGCUCGAAUACAUUAGCAUGGAAUAAUAGAAAUAGGACGUGCGGUUCUAUUUUGUUGGUUUCUAGGACCGCCGUAAUGAUAAAUAGGGAUAGUCGGGGGCGUCAGUAUUCAGCUGUCAGAGGUGAAUUCUUGGAUUUGCUGAGACUAACUACUGCGAAGCAUCGCCAAGGAUGUUUUCAUUAAUCAGGGAACGAAGGUUAAGGGGAUCGAAGGACGAUCAGAUUCCGUCGUA